CUCAUCCCAUUCACCCACAGAAUCUGCUUUCCUACUCUCAACUGGUACUCACCUUUGUCCUUCUCAAACACUGCUUGUGUUAUCUGAGAAUUCACGGUUCCAGACAGUUGGUUUACAUCUUGUCCAUUCUGAUUAGGAGGGUAAGCCUCUGCCUUCACUGCUAGAGGAUAGACAUCCAUCUCACCAUCUUUCAUUAAUUCUCUCUCCUCAAACAUUCCAAAAUCAAUCCCAGUUCCAGAAGGCUGCCUGAAUUUCUGGCUGAGACCUUGUUGGAAAUUGACUGUCACUGGCUGAAGAAGGUUUUCCUUCACUGGGGUCAGGAUACAAUCCUCACCUUCUUUUGCAAAGAAAAUAACAGUGAUGC
rnacentral:misc_RNA from 1 species